rnacentral:rRNA from 1 species
GGCGAUCAGAUACCGCCCUAGUUCUGACCGUAAACGAUGCCAACUAGCGAUCCGCCAGUCGACUCAUCGCUCUGGUGGGGAGCUUCCCGGAAACGAAAGUCUUCCGGUUCCGGGGGAAGUAUGGUUGCAAAGCUGAAACUUAAAGGAAUUGACGGAAGGGCACCACCAGGAGUGGAGCCUGCGGCUUAAUUUGACUCAACACGGGGAAACUCACCCGGCCCGGACACCGUAAGGAUUGACAGAUUGAUAGCUUUUUCAUGAUUCGGUGGAUGGUGGUGCAUGGCCGUUCUUAGUUCGUGGAGCGAUUUGUCUGGUUUAUUCCGAUAACGAGCGAGACUCUGGCCUACUAAAUAGUUGACGCAUUGCCACUGUGCGCACAACUUCUUGGAGGGAUUUUCGGUGUUUUCAACCGCACGAAAUUGAGCAAUAACAGGUCUGUGAUGCCCUUAGAUGUCCGGGGCUGCACGCGCGCUACACUGGCAAACGCAACGUGCCUGUCCUGCCCCGAAAGGAGCGGGUAAACCCCUGAAAUUUUGCCGUGAUUGGGAUCGGACAUUGCAACUAUUGUCCGUGAACGAGGAAUUCCUUGUAGGGGCGAGUCAUCAACUCGUCCCGAAUACGUCCCUGCCCUUGUA